CAAUGAAUUCGAAAAGAUUCCUCAUGCAAGAUUAGAAAAUUAAAUUAUAUUCUGACUACGAAAAAUGUCCUGUUAAAUAAUUCUAAUUUCUCAAGAAUGAAUCUACUUUUUUUUAUGAUUACUUGCAGAAAUGCUAUCGAUAGCACACGCAUAAAAGCGAACUCAAAUUAUGUGAUUUUAUUUAUUAUUAUCUUUUUUUUUCUUUCUUUCUUUCUAUCUUUCAAUUUUUUUUUUAUUUUUUUAUUUUUUUUCCAAUGCAACGUGUUAAAAAGUCUCCUCAAAAGAUCGAAGGACUCUUUUCUUCGAGCAAGAUUAUUAUUGAUUGUGCUUUUAGCUGAAAACUUUUUAAUACGAAUAUAAAGAUAAUAACGAGAGAAUUAUUUCAAAAGCUACCAUGUUAUAUCUUUUACGAAUGGAGAUACGAGCAGCACGAACUGAUCAUGCAAAACGUUACUACACUUGAAAUAAUACUUUAGAUAGUAUUAUUUGUCAUAAGAAACAAUGUCAGAAGAUGAAUAAUCUAUAAUUUUAUAUUCUAUCCCUUGAAUGAUAUCGUACUGCGUGAUUAUAUGAACGAUGUAAACGUAUAACGAUUAAAAUAAAAAUGAUCAAAUAUCUAUUUGAAGUAUUAGAAAAUGGAAAAGUUUUUCAAGUGUAGCACGUUGUAACGUCGUACGACAAUUGUUUACCAGAUUUAGAUUUGAGAGCAAAGAUGAAGGCUCCUCGGCGUAGCUCUCUAGCCUGGAUCGGUCCCUUCGCUGUGCCAACAAUGGUUAAUGACAAACCAUAAAGCAUUGACUUCGAAAUGCAUGCACUGCCUAUGUAUCCACUUUUCAAAAAGUGAUUUCUAUUUUUAUAGACUCCUUUACUUUUGAAAUAAGUAAAGCUCACCUUUCGUGGAGGAGGAACAGGAUUGCCAAGGCCAUGAUCCGAACACAUGGAACUUAGAGACUCGCUACUACGACCAUUACUCAAUCUGGAAGUGCUAACACUGGACGGUGCAGGUGGUGGUGGAUUACGUGGUCUUUGUAGCGUGGAACUAUUGGUCUUGUCCAUUCCUAUAUAAAACAUUGAAACGUAUAAAUAAAUGGAACGAAAAAAGAAGAAGAAAAAGAAAAAAAAGAAGAAGAAGGAAAAUAUAGAAAAAUUAUAGGAGGAAAGUUUCGAUUUCACCUAUAGAGCUUUACAUGGAGAAAAUCGUAAAGCGAGUUUAACCUAAACAUACCAUGCCCUGUAGAAGAGUCUCCACUGGGUGAUCUUUUAUGGUGUUGAUUGUUAAGUGUGUUUAAAGUAUGCGAUAGUGUGUGUAAGGUGUGUCCAGCUAAGAUUGGCUCACUCGUCGUCCGGCUAUGUGUGGAUGUUGCUAAUGACGCUGACGAAGGUAGUGUACCAUAAUGAGAAGAUGGAAUGCCACUUGAGCUUCCUGAUGGUGGGGGAGGCGGUGCAACACGUUUCUUCAAUGAUCCAUGGAUAUUUAUUGAAAUAUCUGGUGUCAUCGGUGUGGGUACUGUUUACAAAAAAAAAAAAAAAAAAAAAAAAUAAAAAAAUAAAAAAAAAUAAAAAAAAAAAAAUGUAUUUCAUUAGCUUCAUUGCAGCAACAAUAUAUCGUAUUAUAUUAUUCAUUAAUCAUUAUUACCAUAUUGAUAUUUAUAAUUAUUGCUUACUAAUGUUAUCCGAUUAAAUAUUGCUCGAUUAUUAUUCAUCAUUUGUUAUGUAAAAAGGGGACGGGAGUGGAUGGGGGGUGAGUAAGAAGAAAAAAAAAUUAAACAAUAACAACCUACCAGCAACAGGUUUUCUCGUUUGUGGUGGAGGAGGCGGUGGCAUUUGUUGUCUGUUGGUAGAGGAACUUGGCGAGGAACCACUUUGUAGACUAUCACAAGUACUGCUACGACUACG